rnacentral:rRNA from 1 species
AUACGUAGGGGGCGAGCGUUGUCCGGAAUGAUUGGGCGUAAAGGGCGCGUAGGCGGCCCGGUAAGUCUGGAGUGAAAGUCCUGUUUUUAAGAUGGGAAUUGCUUUGGAUACUGUCGGGCUUGAGUGCAGGAGAGGUAAGUGGAAUUCCCAGUGUAGCGGUGAACUGCGUAGAGAUUGGGAGGAACACCAGUGGCGAAGGCGACUUACUGGACUGUAACUGACGCUGAGGCGCGAAAGUGUGGGGAGCAAACAGGAUUAGAUACCCUGGUAGUCCACACUGUAAACGAUGAAUGCUAGGUGUAGGGGGUAUCGACCCCUUCUGUGCCGCAGUCAACACAAUAAGCAUUCCGCCUGGGGAGUACGGCCGCAAGGUUGAAACUCAAAUGAAUUGACGGG